GUACAACAAGGGUCUAUUGUAUUUGACUAUUUUUCACUACCAAAACAAAAAAAAGAAGAAGAAAAAGGUUCCCUCUGUUACGCAAACACAGGAUAAGAAUUAUAAAAUCAUAGCUAGCGCGUGUUCUUCAAAUUCAUUCACAAAUAAAGAACAAAAUAAAAAAAUAAAAUAAAAUAUUCACUACGAGGCUUAAGCAGCUUUUGACAUAACAGAGAGCCGGCUUGGCUUCGCCUGAAAAGCUUCCCGGCGGCGAAGUUGUUGCGGCGAAGGUCGAAUCAAAUUCGUUAAUGUUCUCUUCAAAAUUUCACCUUCUACACCGAUUCGAAUCAACGAAUUCUUCAUCGCCGAUCGUCUAAGAUUCAGCGUUCUACUUCUUGACAUCGCCGUAAUUUGUUGCCGUUGUUGCUGCUGAUGCUGCUUCUGUUGAACUUCUUUUUGCUGUUGAUGUUGUUGAUGAACUUUAUCUUGUUUCUGUUGCCGUUGUUGUUCUUGCUCCGCCAUGCGUUUAUGAUACGCGCACCGAAACGAACCAGCGUGUGUCGUAGGAGAACACAUGCACCUCCUCGCCGGCUUCGUAUUCGUGGACGACACCGCCGUCAUCGAUUUAGGUCCUGGAGAUUCCGGUCGUUGUUCGGUGGAGAAUCUUACGGUGGAAGAAGGUGACGGUGGAGACGGUGGUGUAGAACGGUGACCGUAUGAUGAGGAUUGCAUCAUCACAGGAGAGGCUCUUGGAGAGAAAGUUGAUACGGAUGAAGAAGCGAAGUGUGAAUAUGAUGAAGUUUCGGAUCUUGAGGAACGAAAAGCCAUGGUCAUUGUUGAAGGUUUUUAGAGAGCGAGUGUGUUAGGGUUUUGGAGUGAGAGAAAGUGAAGAAGGUUUUGGAUUUAUUAUUAACUUUAGAAGUUUGUUUAGACGGUUAGGGAUAUGUAAACGUGAAAUUCGAAAUUCAGUUACGUAACAAAUUCAAGAAUCAGUAGGGUUUUAUAUAGAAGGAG
rnacentral:lncRNA from 1 species